GACGGAGGAUGCAAGCGUUAUCCGGAAUGAUUGGGCGUAAAGCGCCCGCAGGUGGCAGUUCAAGUCUGCUGUCAAAGACCGGGGCUUAACUUCGGAAAGGCAGUGGAAACUGAACAGCUAGAGUAUGGUAGGGGCAGAGGGAAUUCCUGGUGUAGCGGUGAAAUGCGUAGAGAUCGGGAAGAACAUCGGUGGCGAAAGCGCUCUACUGGACCGCAACUGACACUCAGGGACGAAAGCUAGGGGAGCGAAUGGG
rnacentral:rRNA from 1 species